rnacentral:rRNA from 1 species
UACAGAGGGGGCAAGCGUUGUUCGGAAUUACUGGGCGUAAAGGGCGCGUAGGCGGCCUGCUAAGUCGAACGUGAAAUCCCUGGGCUCAACCCAGGAACUGCGUCCGAUACUGGUUGGCUUGAAUCCGGGAGAGGGAUGUGGAAUUCCAGGUGUAGCGGUGAAAUGCGUAGAUAUCAGGAGGAAUACCGGUGGCGAAAGCGACUCUCUGGACGGCAACUGACGCUGAGGCACGAAAGCGUGGGGAGCAAACAGG